CUUGCUUCUAACAUCAUGUUAAUCAGCAAUGUAAGCUCUGGCAUAGCUUACCAACCCUAAGAGUGGCAGGGAGUUGCUCUGUGUAAUGGUGGAGUACUCAGCUGUCUUCUCCAUGGUGGUUGAGUUCUCUGGAUGGGAUCAGCUUUCUUCACAUGUCACUGAAGUGAAAGGGGACAAUUGAAACCUAUUUUGACAGGUUUAAAAGCUAAAGCCAAGCCAGGAAGAGGAAGACAAGAUGAGAAACCCCAAAUCAAGGUAA
rnacentral:lncRNA from 1 species